GGGAAGCUGGAGCCCCGAGGAGAUGGGACCUCACAUAAACCAGGCAGGAGACAUGUCACCAAAAUGGAAUCAUUUCCCACCAGAACUCAUACUGAAACCCUAAUUAAUAUUGAGAAAUUUUCUUACUUGCAAAGUGACAUGAUGGCUGAAUUUCUGCCUUUGGUUGAUGCUCAGUGUCACCAGCAGGAGUCUGGCUGUGGAGAUGGUUUCAGUGUCACUGGGAGUGUCACCCUUGUGGAUGAUGUUUGCUGAGGGCCUGGGUGCAGCCUCACGUGCAGGUACCAAACCCAGCUCAGCCACUGAGGAUAUUUUGGGAUUGUGCUGUCACCCAGAGCCACUGGGCUGUGCUGCCUGCCCUGAGCCCUUGGGCUGGAGGUGUUGGCCAUGAACUCCAACCCUGCACUCCUGAGAGUUUGAACAGGCCAGGCCAGAGCGAGUCCCUGCUGUUCUGCAUAUAAGGGGGUGGAGGAAGGAAAUCUGGAGAGGAAGCUGAACUUCCUGUGCCAGAGAUUUUCUACUGGAGCCUUCCCUGAAUUCAAGAAUGUGCAGCCACAGCUUUAGAUGUGAAUCACUCAAAUUCGGACAUGCAGAUUUGAAGAAAGACCCUUCCACAUCCACACCUGUGGUUUGGGGCUCAUAAAGAACAAUCUGACUGAUUUUUGGACCUGGCAUUGCCUCUUCCAUCCCCCACCCCAUCUCCAGAUGGAUGAGAAACUCCUUUUAUUUUAGUUUCGUUUCUCUGAAUGCUGGUUCAGACUCAGAGGAGCCAGUUUGGGUGUCAGGAUUAACCACAGGUCCGUGGGUGAAUGGCUGCACAGAGUUACAAAGGGGAGAGGCACCAAGGAGCCAAAAGGAGCAGGCCUGAUGACAAAAACGGGAGGGGGCAGGAGAAGGGCUGUGUGUGACAGCCAUCAGUUGUUCAGACACGUGUACACACUUGCACUUUCAUGAUCUAUAAUUAUAAAUGGAUGAAGAAGUCACCAAACUAAUUCCAUAGAUGCUCUAAUUAUCCUGAUUUUGUUGUGCUAAUUGCAUUAAUGUGUGUUACCUGGUAUAAUGAACAUUGAUUAAAUCUUGGAGAUUUUGGGGUGUA